GGGACACGUGAAACCCUGUGGGAAGCAGGAGGGACCACCCUCCAAGGCUAAAUACUACCUAGUGACCGAUAGCGUAUAGUACCGUGAGGGAAAGGUGAAAAGAACCCCGGGAGGGGAGUGAAAUAGAACCUGAAACCCUGCACUUACAAGCUGUGGAAGCACAUUUCUUGUGUGACCGCGUACUUUUUGUAGAACGGGCCAACGAGUUACGUUAAGUAGCAAGGUUAAGCACUUAAGGUGCGGAGCCGUAGCGAAAGCGAGUUUUAACUGAGCGUUCAGUUACUUGACGUAGACCCGAAACCGGGCGACCUACCCAUGAGCAGGAUGAAGCGAAAGUAAAAUUUCGUGGAGGUCCGAACCCACGAGCGUUGAAAAGCUCGGGGAUGACUUGUGGGUAGCGGUGAAAUUCCAAUCGAGCCCGGAGAUAGCUGGUUCUCCCCGAAAUAGCUUUAGGGCUAGCCUCAAGGUGAGAGAUACGGAGGUAGAGCACUGAAUGUCCUAGGGGGUAUUGCACCUACCGAAGACUAUCAAACUCCGAAUGCCGUCAUCUUAUACUUGGGAGUCAGACUGUGGGUGAUAAGAUUCAUAGUCGAAAGGGCAACAGCCCAGAUCGUCAGCUAAGGUCCCUAAAUGUAAGUUAAGUGGUAAAGGAUGUGGGAUUGCACAGACAACCAGGAUGUUGGCUUAGAAGCAGCCACUCAUUCAAAGAGUGCGUAAUAGCUCACUGGUCGAGUGAUCCUGCGCCGAAGAUUUCCGGGGCUAAAACUUACUACCGAAGCUACGGCAUCAGUAAUGAUGGGUAGGGGAGCUUCCCAUACGGGUUGAAGCAUGACCGUAAGGACAUGUGGACAGUAUGGGAGUGAGAAUGUUGGCAUGAGUAGCGAGAUGUGGGUGAGAAUCCCACAGGCCGUAAACCCAAGGUUUCCAGGGGAAGGUUCGUCCGCCCUGGGUUAGUCGGGACCUAAGCUGAGGCCGAAAGGCGUAGGUGAUGGACAACAGGUUGAUAUUCCUGUACUACCGAUAACCGUUUGAGAGAAGGGAUGACACAGUAGGAUAAGCUAAGCACACUGUUGGUUAUGUGUGCCCAAGCAUUGAGGCAGUCAAAGUAGGCAAAUCCGCUUUGAUAAUGCUGGGAUGUGAUGGGGAGCGAAAUUUAGUAGCGAAGUAGCUGAUUUCACACUGUCAAGAAAAGUCUCUAUCGAGGUUAAAGGUACCCGUACCGCAAACCGACACAGGUGGGUGAGGAGAGUAUCCUAAGGCCAGCGAGAGAACUGUUGUUAAGGAACUCGGCAAAAUGACCCCGUAACUUAGGGAUAAGGGGUGCCACCAUCAGGUGGCCGCAGAGAAUAGGCCCAAGCGACUGUUUACCAAAAACAUAGGUUUCUGCUAAGUCGCAAGACGAUGUAUAGGAGCUGACGCCUGCCCGGUGCUGGAAGGUUAAGGGGAUCUGUUAGAGCAAUCGAAGCAGUGAACUUAAGCCCCAGUAAACGGCGGCCGUAACUAUAACGGUCCUAAGGUAGCGAAAUUCCUUGUCGGGUAAGUUCCGACCCGCACGAAAGGCGUAACGAUUUGGGCACUGUCUCAACAACAGACUCGGUGAAAUUGUAAUUCCGGUGAAGAUGCCGGAUACCUGCGACAGGACGGAAAGACCCCAUGGAGCUUUACUGUAGCUUGACAUUGGGUCUUGGUACUACAUGUACAGGAUAGGUGGGAGGCUUUGAAACCAGGACGCCAGUUUUGGCGGAGCCAUCCUUGGGAUACCACCCUUGUAGUACUGGGACUCUAACCAUAGGCCAUGAAUCUGGUCUUGGGACACUGUCAGGUGGGCAGUUUGACUGGGGCGGUCGCCUCCCAAAAGGUAACGGAGGCGCUCAAAGGUUCUCUCAGUACGGUCGGAAAUCGUACGUAGAGUGUAAAGGCAAAAGAGAGCUUGAUUGCAAGACAUACAGGUCGAGCAAGGAUGAAAAUCGGACUUAGUGAUCCGGUGGUUCUGCGUGGAAGGGCCAUCGCUCAACGGAUAAAAGCUACCCUGGGGAUAACAGGCUUAUCUCCCCCAAGAGUCCACAUCGACGGGGAGGUUUGGCACCUCGAUGUCGGCUCAUCACAUCCUGGGGCUGUAGUAGGUCCCAAGGGUUGGGCUGUUCGCCCAUUAAAGUGGUACGCGAGCUGGGUUCAGAACGUCGUGAGACAGUUCGGUCCCUAUCCGUCGCAGGCGUAGGAAAUUUGAGAAGACCUGUCCUUAGUACGAGAGGACCGGGAUGGACGUACCUCUGGUGUACCAGUUGUCCUGCCAAGGGCAUGGCUGGGUAGCUAUGUACGGAAUGGAUAAGCGCUGAAAGCAUCUAAGCGCGAAGCCAACUUCAAGAUAAGAUUUCCCACCGCAAGGGUAAGACCCCAGAAAGACUAUCUGGUUGAUAGGUCGAAGGUGUAAGUGCAGCAAUGUAUUUAGCUUAUCGAUACUAAUAGGUCGAGGACUUGACCAA
rnacentral:rRNA from 2 species